GACGAACGCUGGCGGCGUGCUUAACACAUGCAAGUCGAACGGAAAGGCCCUGCUUGCAGGGUACUCGAGUGGCGAACGGGUGAGUAACACGUGGGUGAUCUGCCCUGCACUUCGGGAUAAGCCUGGGAAACUGGGUCUAAUACCGGAUAGGAGCCAUUUUUAGUGUGAUGGUUGGAAAGUUUUUUCGGUGUAGGAUGAGCUCGCGGCCUAUCAGCUUGAUGGUGGGGUAAUGGCCUACCAAGGCGGCGACGGGUAGCCGGCCUGAGAGGGUGGACGGCCACAUUGGGACUGAGAUACGGCCCAGACUCCUACGGGAGGCAGCAGUGGGGAAUAUUGCACAAUGGGCGCAAGCCUGAUGCAGCGACGCCGCGUGGGGGAUGACGGCCUUCGGGUUGUAAACUCCUUUCGCUAGGGACGAAGCUUUUUGUGACGGUACCUAGAUAAGAAGCACCGGCUAACUACGUG
rnacentral:rRNA from 1 species